UUCUUCCACACCAAACUGUUUCUGUAUGGACCUUNNNNNNNNNNCAUUGUGGCCAGUCGUGGCGCUUGAUGAAGCAUUGUGGCCAGUUGCUUCAGCUAAUGUAUUUGGGCCAGUCGUGACGCUUGCAGAAGCAUUGUGGGUGGCUGCUUCUGAGGCACGGGAUCCGGUUGCUCCACCUAAGGUAUUUGGGCCAGUCGUGACGCUUGAUGAAGCGUUGUGGCCUGUUGCUUCAAAGGUAUUUUGGCCAGUAGCCACACCUGCCGAGGUAUUUUGGGUGGCCGCUUGCACGGCACUGUGGCCAGCUGCUUCACCUGCCGAGGCACGGGAGCCGGUAGCUUCACCUGCCGAGGAACGGGAGCCGGUAGCUUCACCUGCAUUGUGGCCAGUCGUGGCGCUUGAUGAAGCAUUGUGGCCAGUUGCUUCAGCUAANNNNNNNNNNAGACCACACUAUCUACCUAGAGAGUUUUCAUCUGUAUUUUUUGUAGCUGUCU
rnacentral:lncRNA from 13 species